CUUUUCAAUAUGGGAAGGACACACUCGGUACUGCUGGGUUUGGAAAGAACCAGUCAAAGCAGUGUUGGCUUCCUGAAUCAAACAACACCACAGUACCUAUUUCUCCUGGAGAGGUAGUGUUACAGCUCUUGGAUGUGACAGUGGUAUCUGAUUGUUCCCAGCUGCCGAUCCUUUGUCAGCAGAUUCCUACGCAUGGGGUCACUGAUAAAAAUGUUAAAUAAAACUGGCCCCAGUAUUGAACGCUUUGGAACACCACCAGUGACCAGCUACCAACUGGACUGAACUCUGUUCACCUUGAGAGCAGCAAUCCAGACAGUAUUUCACACAGUAAACUUCACGUCUGUCCAAGCUAUGAGCAGCCAGUUUCUCCACAAGAAUGCUGUUGGUGUUACUUUACUAAAAUCCAGGUAAGCACUCCAUAGCAUUUCCCUCCUCUUUUAAGUAGGUCAUCUCAUCAUUGAAGAACAGGUUCUUGAAUUAUUACAGAAGUAAUGCUUCCUAUCCC
ensembl:lncRNA